GAUAAGGGCCAAGCUGUACUCAGGUAUAUUUUUCCUUAGCUUAGCCACCCAUGAUUUGGCUUCAGAUUCCCUCUGGCUCCUCUACGGGUGUGCCGCCCAAAUGUGACAUUAGACGGCUCUGGGGUUACAUUUUUCGAGCUUUUAAUUCAAAGUAAAAGAAGAACUUUGCUUCACCUCCAAUCUGGGAAUUCCAGGCAGGUAUCGCCGAAGCCCUUCACACCGUUUAUCUCGAAGCCAUUCCAUAACCCUGCAGGUGCUAAGGAUCAGAGCCAUUAAGUGACCCAACCAGAAGCAAAGUAAAUGAUGGACAACCAAGAGGCAAACAUGGACUAUCAUGGAAAGGGUACAAAUGCAUUGAGAGUUGAACUCUGUAAUCGAGACUGAUGAUCAGCGAGAAGGUGAAAAGUUGCCUUGCGGCAAGGACACUACCAGUCUCAGGAGUGAGGGAAAAGAGGAGCCUGAGUAUUCAGGCCAGAGCUCAUACUGAAUCCAAGAAAUGAGGCGGCGACUCUGGAAGGAGGUCUCUUCCAUCAAGAACCCGAAACACCAAAGUAAAAUAAUGUAAAAGGCACCCUUAAACUGACAACAAGUUUCAAAGCUGGAGGGUUG